GGCACGCCGGGAACGGGUGGAACUCCGGGAAGCCCAGGAUCGCCAGGAUCACCUGGUUCUUCAGGGACGCCCGGUAUUCCUGGAGAACCUGGAGAACCUGGAGAAGGAGGUGUUCCUGGAGUGCCUGGAAUCCCAGGAAUUCCUGCAGGUCGAUAGUAUAUUUCUAAAUGACAUCAUUUCAUUUGCAUCACAGUUCAAUCAGCAACAGACGAAUACAAAGAAAAAGAUUUUUUUUUCGA